UGAGGAAUAUUGGGCAAUGCCCGAAAGGGUGACCCAGCAACGCCGCGUGGAGGAUGAAGGUCGUAAGAUUGUAAACUCCUGUUAGAGGGGAAGAAUAACUAAGUUUGGAGCUUAGUAUGACUGUACCCUCAGAGAAAGCCCCGGCUAACUACGUGCCAGCAGCCGCGGUAAUACGCAGGGGGCAAGCGUUGUCCGGAUUUACUGGGUGUAAAGGGCGCGCAGGCGGAAUGGAAAGUCAGUGGUGAAAUCCUACAGCUUAACUGUAGAACUGCCUUUGAUACUUUCAUUCUUGAGUUCGGGAGAGAGAGACGGAAUUCCAGGUGUAGUGGUGAAAUACGUAGAUAUCUGGAAGAACACCAGUUGCGAAGGCGGUCUCUUGGUCCGAUACUGACGCUGAGGCGCGAAAGCGUGGGGAGCAAACA
rnacentral:rRNA from 1 species